rnacentral:tRNA from 1 species
GGGCAGUUAGCUCAGUUGGUAGAGCACCGUGUUCACAUCGCGGGGGUCGGCGGUUCGAACCCGUCACUGCCCA